rnacentral:rRNA from 1 species
UACGGGGGGAGCAAGCGUUGUUCGGAUUUACUGGGCGUAAAGGGCGCGUAGGCGGCCAAACAAGUCAGUUGUGAAAUCUCCGGGCUUAACUCGGAAAGGUCAACUGAUACUGUUAGGCUAGAGUGCAGAAGGGGCAACUGGAAUUCUCGGUGUAGCGGUGAAAUGCGUAGAUACCGGGAAGAACACCAAAGGCGAAAGCACUUUACUGGGCCGAAACUGACACUGAUAGACGAAAGCUAGGGGAGCAAAUGGG